GGUAGGUCCUGGUGCUGGAGCAUUCCUGAAAAUCAGUGGACUGUAGAGGACGAAGGUCAUUACAAUCCACUCACCACGCUGCAUCAAAGAAUCAAGGAACUCACCCGACUGGUUUUUGUUUGGCUGAUUCCCUGGGGUUUUCUAUGUAAACCAUCGUAUCAUCUGCAAAGAGUGAUAGUUUUAUUUUCUGAGGACCUUUCUCAGGUUGUUCUCUUCUUGAAAGUUGCUUCACUCUGCCUCCUUGUUGGUUCUUUCACUCUUAUAGAGUGAAGAUUGGAGAGGAUUCUCACGGUGGUUUCAGGCUUCCCUGCUUCUACUGCACCAUCUUGGCUCCAGGACCAGAAACCCAAUUUAUUUUAAUAUGUAUUAUGCACAUACACACACACAUUGUGUGCCAAAGAGGACGGAAUAGAAACGGCUUCUUGGAAAAAGUGGAAUUUUAGAUGAAACUUGAAGGAAGCCAGGGAAACCAGGAGAGACAAAAUUCCAGACAUGGGGAAUAGCCAGUGAAAGUGCAAAGCUGGGGAUUGGAGCAUCUUGUUUGAAAUCCAGUGGGGAGGCCCAUGUCACUGAAGCAUACACUCUAGGGAGGGGGAUGAGGUGUAAAAAGACUGGAAAGGUAGAGAGUGGCAGGUUAGGGCUUGAAAAGUCAAAUGGAGAAUUAUAUAUUUGAUUCUGGAGGUAAUAGAACCACAGGAGUUGAUUGAAGUGGGGUGGUGUUGGGGGUGAUGAUUGAUUGGAUCUGCACUUUAGGAGAUUCAUUUGAUAGCUGAGUAGAGACUGAGCUACAGUGGUAGUGGUGGGGAAUCUUGAUGCUGAAUAAUCAGCCAAAUUUGUGGUGAUAUAUGAAGAAAUAAUGGCCUGAAUAAGGUGGAGGCAUGGUAGAAGGAGAGGAGGG
rnacentral:lncRNA from 1 species